rnacentral:lncRNA from 1 species
CGGCCCCGCCCCUUCCAGAGAGGGCCCCGCCCCACCGUGCCCCGGCCCUGCCCUUCCUCCUGGGGUCCAGUCUCUGGCCCCAGCCCCGUCUCCUCCACGCAGGGCUCUGCCCACCCGGCGCCUCGCCCCGCCCCCCUAGGGCCCAGUCCCGGCUGCGGUCGCACUGGGACCAAGUCGCCCUACUCUGCACCGGACCCUGAGGCCCCGCGUCGCCGGGCCUGAGCCCCGCCCCUCAAUCCAGCGCGCUCACACGCGCGCGCACACACACACACACACACACACACACACACACACACUCACAUACCCCUCCCCGCCACGCCACGCCACGCCACGCCACACCGGCCCUCAUUGUUCUGCAGCAGAAUCCGCGCGGUGCAGCAGACGGGGCGUCCCGGGCCACGCCGCUCUUGGGGACCUGUUGCCCGGCGGCUCUGCUCGGGCACCUACCCCGCCUUUGUCCCGUGAAACAUUCCUGGGCCCCGGCCUCGCCACCCGGGGAGUCUGCUGUUACAGUCCUCAGGUUCUGCCUCGGGGAAACCGACAUCGAAGGUGCAGCGCCAACGCCCGGCUUCCGCCACGUCCUAGUUCCUUACUCACUUGGAAAAAGGGGAGCCGAAAUUCUCAUGGCGAAGGGUCACUGAAAGAUUCAACGUGAAACCUCACCGGAGACAGCUGCCGGAUUAAAGUGACUAACGGACUACGUGUCUUUGAGAGGUCUCCCAGAGAAGCUGAGAACAAACCAGAAGAAGGCGCGGGAGAGAGACUGCCUGUGGUGUUCGUAGCUGUCAUCUACUCGCCUCUCCACUGCUAAUAAAACCCCAAUAAAUAUUGUGGAAUGAAUGCCAG